UCGAGGAUCUUCGUCAAUGGGCGAAAGCCUGAACGAGCGACGCCGCGUGCGCGAUGAAGGCCUUCGGGUUGUAAAGCGCGAAAGUGGGGACGAAAGCCGAAAGGUUUGACCGAUCCACAGUAAGCUCGGGCUAAGUUCGUGCCAGCAGCCGCGGUAAGACGAACCGAGCGAACGUUAUUCGGAAUCACUGGGCUUAAAGGGCGCGUAGGCGGGCAUUCAAGUCUGUGGUGAAAUCCGGCAGCUCAACUGUCGAACUGCCAUGGAUACUGGGUGUCUCGAGGGAGGUAGGGGCGUGCGGAACUAUUGGUGGAGCGGUGAAAUGCGUUGAUAUCAAUAGGAACUCCGGUGGCGAAGGCGGCACGCUGGACCUCUUCUGACGCUGAGGCGCGAAAGCCAGGGGAGCAAACGGGAUUAGAUACCCCUGUAGUCC
rnacentral:rRNA from 1 species